rnacentral:rRNA from 1 species
GGGGUGCUCGAGUGGCGAACGGGUGAGUAACACGUGAGUAACCUGCCCUUGACUUUGGGAUAACUUCAGGAAACUGGGGCUAAUACCGGAUAGGAGCUCCUGCUGCGUGGUGGGGGUUGGAAAGUUUCGGCGGUUGGGGAUGGACUCGCGGCUUAUCAGCUUGUUGGUGGGGUAGUGGCUUACCAAGGCUUUGACGGGUAGCCGGCCUGAGAGGGUGACCGGCCACAUUGGGACUGAGAUACGGCCCAG